AUAAACUAUAUUUUUUUUUGCAUCUUUGUCAGAUUUAUUUGCAUGUUUGUUCGAUUUUUUAAGUCAGUUGUUGUGUAUGUUUGUGUUAGAUGUAUGUUUACACAGUUUUAGAAGCUUGAUCCCAAUUAUUAGCACGUUAACCAAUUAUAUGUAUUAAUAAUAAGGAUACUAUAAAAUUGAGAAGGUUUGCAUUGUCGUUUUUUUUUUAAUUAAGGCUUAAGAAGAAUAUGACAACAUUAACGAUUUAAGUAUUCCUAUUUGAAACUCGCCAUUCUGAGAAGUAACAUACACUGUGCAAAGGAUUAAUGUGUUUCCAUUUUUCAUUUGUUCGCAUAAUAGCAGUUUUAGCAAAACACGUAUACUCUUAACUAGACAAACUACAAAAAAAAAUGCUGAAUACCGACUGAAAUUAUCAUUUCGCAACUUCUCUCUCUGUACCCUUAAUCUGCCUUAGAAAUUCAGGUUUACCCCAGAAAAAUACAUUUUGUCUUAUUUAUAUUUUCUUCAACCAAAAGAACAUAAUUUUAUUAUUUCAUCUUUCAGUUAAAACUACAACAACAGCUGCAACACCAAUCCAGACACCGUUAUCUAGCUGCAUGGAUGACCCACGUGUAAUGUGUUCUUCUUCUAUUUGCAGUGUGGGUGCUUUGAAAACCUACUGUCCAUUGACAUGUAAAAUGUGUACGCCAUGUUCUGAUAGUAACCUAGUUAAUUGUAAAAACAAAGCUGUUUGCAAUGACACAACUUUGAAGAACUACUGUAAAGCAACAUGUGGUCUAUGUUCAAGACGAAAUUCUUCACCAAAAACUACAUCUUGGAUUCAUAUAAAACCAACCCCGACUCCAACACGAUGGAUACAUGUAGGUGGAAAAUAACAAAUAAAAGAUCAUGGAAUCCCUCAACCAAAGGCUACAUCAUUAGAUUUAAAAUUAAAAUGUAUAUCACAAA